GGGAUGGCUACAACUCAGUGGUAGAGCAUCUGCUUUGCACACAGAAUUCCUGGUUCUAUCCCUGGCCUUUCCA